rnacentral:rRNA from 1 species
CAGUCGCCGCGGUAAUACGAAGGGUGCAAGCGUUAAUCGGAAUUACUGGGCGUAAAGCGUGCGUAGGCGGUUUGUUAAGUCUGCUGUGAAAUCCCCGGGCUCAACCUUGGAAUGGCAGUGGAUACUGGCAAGCUAGAGUGUGUCAGAGGAUGGUGGAAUUCCCGGUGUAGCGGUGAAAUGCGUAGAGAUCGGGAGGAACAUCAGCGGCGAAGGCGGCCAUCUGGGACAACACUGACGCUGAGGCACGAAAGCGUGGGGAGCAAACAGGAUUAGAUACCCCCGUAGUCCCUGUCUCUUAUAC